GCGAGGCGAGGCGAGGCGUGGCAGGGCGAGACGAGGUGAGGGGUGGCGAGGCAAGGCAAAGGCGAGGCGAGGCGUUGCAAAGUCAGAGAAAGGCGAGGAGAGGCGAGGCGAGGCGUUGCAAAGUGAGGGAAAGGCGAGGAGAGGCAGUGCGUUGCAAAGUGAGGGAAAGGCGAGGCGAGGCCUGACGAGGUGAGGCGAGGUGAGGCAAAGGUGAGGCAAGGCGGGGCAAGGCGAGGCGAGGCGUGGUGAGGAGAGUCGAGGCGAGGUAAAGGCAAGGCUAAGGCAAGGCGAGGAGAGGCAAAGGCAAGGCUAAAGCGAGGUGAGGCGAGGCGUGGCAGGGUGAGACGAGGUGAGGGGUGGCGAGGCAAGGCAAAGACGAGGCGAGGCGUGGCAAAGUGAGAGAAAGGUGAGGCGAGGAGAGGCGAGGCGUUGCAAAGUGAGGGAAAGGCAAGGCAUGACGAGGAGAGGCGAGUUGUUGCGAGGCAAGGAGAGGUGAGGCAGGGCGAGGCGAGGCGAGGCGAGGCGAGGCCUGACGAGGCAAGGCGAG
ensembl:lncRNA